rnacentral:rRNA from 1 species
GAGUUUGAUCGUGGCUCAGAGUGAACGCUGGCGGCAGGCCUAACACAUGCAAGUCGAACGGCAGCGCAGCAGUAGCAAUACUGUGGGCGGCGAGUGGCGGACGGGUGAGGAAUACAUCGGAAUCUACCUUGUCGUGGGGGAUAACGUAGGGAAACUUACGCUAAUACCGCAUACGACCUACGGGUGAAAGCGGCGGACCGCAAGGCGUCGCGCGAUUGGAUGAGCCGAUGUCCGAUUAGCUAGUUGCGGGUAAGAGCCACCAAGGCGACGAUCGGUAGCUGGUCUGAGAGGAUGAUCAGCCACACUGGAACUGAGACACGGUCCAGACUCCUACGGGAGGCAGCAGUGGGGAAUAUUGGACAAUGGGCGCAAGCCUGAUCCAGCCAUGCCGCGUGUGUGAAGAAGGCCUU